GACGUAGGGGGCUAGCGUUGUCCGGAAUCAUUGGGCGUAAAGAGCGUGUAGGCGGCCCGGUAAGUCCGCUGUGAAAGUCGGGGGCUCAACCCUCGAAUGCCGGUGGAUACUGUCGGGCUAGAGUGCGGAAGAGGAGUGUGGAAUUCCUGGUGUAGCGGUGAAAUGCGCAGAUAUCAGGAAGAACACCUAUGGCGAAGGCAGCACUCUGGGACGGUACUGACGCUGAGACGCGAAAGCGUGGGGAGCGAACAGG
rnacentral:rRNA from 1 species